CCUCCCUUUACUCUGGCCACUCUGAAUGUCAUUGGUCCUCCUUGAGCCCUCCUGAGCCCUCUGCCCAGAGUAAUGCCAGAGUGGAGGCCACGGCUGAAGGCAGAGGGACUUGAUUUUCUACAAGUGGUACUCCAAGAGGCUCCUACACUUCAGCAGGGAGGUGAGCACCGUUUUGCGGUGGCCGGGCUGGCGAGGAGGUGCAGACCCCAGCCAGCUGGAGGGGCUCUGCCCUGGUGGCAUUCCCACUCCCACCUAUUCGCAGGGCGCCGGGGAGGGCUGCAGGUGUUCUAUUGCCACCCGGCUUGCAGCGCAAGGAGGGGAAUCGCCUGGCCUUCCCCUUCUCCCCUGCCCCGCUUCCUUUCUCUGCUCCCACAGGUGGAAGUCACCAGCGGAAACAACCCUUCACCAUUUGGAGGGCUGGGAGAGAGGGGCCACGAGGGCCCCGGGAGAGCCACCCGGGCUGCAGGCAAGGGGCGGGGCAGGGACCGAAGGGUGAAGGGCAAGGGGAGCUCAGGGAAUGAACGAAUGCUCCCGACUGAUGUUUAA
rnacentral:lncRNA from 1 species